UUGACCCGGGCUUUUGUGCAAUAAUAAAAAAUGUUGGGCCCUUUCUUGUAAUUUUCCCCAAACUUUUUGACCAGCAAUUUAAAGACCCAAAUUGAUGCAGAAACGCAGAAAUUGAGUUGGAAAGGAAAGGAAAGGAAACGUAUGAGAGGGAGAGAGGAAGAAGAGAAGAGAAAGGGAGGGAGUUAGGCUUGGAUCUAGGAGUCUUUGCGACCGUUGCGAGCUCGGCUACACGAUAGAAAAUUGUUGGUGGAACUUAUUGAGAAGUAAGGAACAAGCCGAGCCCUAUUUUGUACAAGGGGAACUCUUUUAGUACCAAAGGGUUGAGGUCCAGGCGAAGGAUCCAGUGGUGGACGGGGAAAAGAGCAAAGCUAGGGGUUUGCUUGUGAUUUGUAAAGAACUGCAACCCCUUUCUUUUGAGCAAAUAUAUUGUAAUGUAUUUAAGAUUAGGGUGCCAGUAGGAUAUGAUUAUGUGUGUGUGUGUGUGAAUAUGUGUGGAUUGUGUGCUUGUGUAUGAAUUUUUGUCUGUUUGCAGACUUGUGGCUAGGAAACUUGGUUAUGGUGUGUGGUUUUGAUGGAUUUACUUAGUAGACCAAGUUUCUAUUACAAGCAGAUCUUUAUUUUGAUAUA